rnacentral:rRNA from 1 species
GACAGCAGCAGCCGCGGUAAUACGUAGGUGGCAAGCGUUGUCCGGAAUUAUUGGGCGUAAAGCGUGCGCAGGCGGUUGUGUAAGACGGGUGUGAAAUCCCCAAGCUUAACUUGGGACGUGCAUUUGAAACUGGGUGACUAGAGUGUGUCAGAGGGAGGUAGAAUUCCACAUGUAGCGGUGGAAUGCGUAGAGAUGUGGAGGAAUACCGAUGGCGAAGGCAGCCUCCUGGGAUAACACUGACGUUGAGGCUCGAAAGCGUGGGGAGCAAACAGGAUUAGAUACCCCGGUAGUCCCUGUCUCUUAUAC